rnacentral:rRNA from 1 species
GAUGAACGCUGGCGGCGUGCCUAAUACAUGCAAGUCGAGCGAACAGACGAGGAGCUUGCUCCUCUGACGUUAGCGGUGGACGGGUGAGUAACACGUGGAUAACCUACCUAUAAGACUGGGAUAACUUCGGGAAACCGGAGCUAAUACCGGAUAACAUGUUGAACCGCAUGGUUCAACAGUGAAAGACGGUCUUGCUGUCACUUAUAGAUGGAUCCGCGCCGCAUUAGCUAGUUGGUAAGGUAACGGCUUACCAAGGCAACGAUGCGUAGCCGACCUGAGAGGGUGAUCGGCCACACUGGAACUGAGACACGGUCCAGACUCCUACGGGAGGCAGCAGUAGGGAAUCUUCCGCAAUGGGCGAAAGCCUGACGGAGCAACGCCGCGUGAGUGAAGAAGGUCUUCGGAUCGUAAAACUCUGUUAUUAGGGAAGAACAACUGUGUAAGUAACUAUGCACGUCUUGACGGUACCUAAUCAGAAAGCCACGGCUAACUACGUG